GUUUAGCAUCCUCAGGGCGUUUCCAUUCAGUUAUUAGUAAGUGAAACGAUUCUACGUAUCUUGGGCCAUUUUUCAGCUUCGAUAAUUAUUAUCAUUUUUAACAUUUUAUUUUAUGUGGAGUGCAGGUGCUUAACAACACCGAGUUAGGUGCUGGUGUACAGCACACCAAGGUAUGCAUGCACAUGCAUCUACUCUUUUCCCGUUUGGGUUGUUGCACAGGACUGAGCAGGGCUCUCUGCACUAUAGUCGUUUUAUUAUUGAAUUGUGUAUUUUCUGGUUUGUUCAUUUCCUUGGAGACAUGCAGCAUGUAAGUUGCCAGGAUUGUAAAUGCUAAGUCUUAUCCCACUUUCGGUCAUGCGUAGGAGCAUUUCCCAUCUUGAUGUCAUAAAAAAAUGUCUCCGAGUUUUCUUCUGGCACUUAUAUGAUUUUAGUUUUCACACUUUAAUCUUUAAUGUAAAAACAGUUCAUUAUGGUUGAGUGGUGAGAUAAGGAUUCAAUGUAAUUUUUACUAGGAGAACACUAUGUGUUAUUCUAAAAGUGUAGAGUUUUCACGACUACUUUCUUGAAGUUAGAAAUUCCCACCAGGACGUAUCCAGGACUGUGUUACUUUGUUUUCCCUCCUGUUGCUAACAGGGUGUUACUCACGCCACUGCUGAUGUUAUUCCCGUGUCCAAAGAGCUGAGCUGUGGAGAGAAGCGUGGUGAAAGGAAAGCACCUUAUUUUGCUGUUUACUAAUUCUUAUAAAUUAUUCAGCUGGUUGGAAUUCCAGGGCUUGGGGAGGGGAUUCUGGGGUGCUAGAGCCACUCUCCUGGGCUGGUCCGGGUGCCCGUGCAGUUUGCAAACGUUUUCUGCACCUGGGAACGUGCACCUGUCUGUAAAAUGCUCUCACUUAUUGAACUUUCUUGAAAACACUCAGGAUACAACACAACAGGCUUCUCCUGGAAAAGGACCGGACAGUUUUAGCAUCAGAAAAGAUACCUGUUAGGGAUGGAAGCACCUAUUAUUACAUAAAAUUCCAUGAAUUAUUGAUGGUUCUCAACAAGAAAAUCAAAGGAAUCUGUGAUCACUCUUGGGAAAUACUAUACAUACAACUCGUAAUUUUGAAAAUGGAAAGAAAGAGAAAGAAUAAAGCAUUGAUCCAGCCUUUCAUAAAAAAACUGCACCUCAGAGUAACCAAAUAAAGGGAGGUUUCUCUGUGUAGAAAUAUUUCAGCUAAUAAGUAAGAAAAGAAUGGUAAUGUUAAAAUAUCAUGACUUUGCUACCCUUAAUACAUUAAUGAGCCUGGGUGGUGACGGUUAACGCCAGUUAGUGAGGGAGAGAGAGAGAAAGCGGUGACCAGACCCUAGAUACGUCUUGGUCAUGGGGCACAGUGUCACCAGGGGAACAGCCUCACCAAAAACGUGGAUCAACACCAUGAAGUUGGUGAAGCAUCUUGAUCUAAGGAUCAAUUUACAGAAAAUACUGGGAGCUGAUGAAAAUACUUUCAAAGUUACACAUCAGGGAUGCAGUCGUCAGCACCAGCUGGUGGGGCUUCUGGAAGACCAACGUCUCAGUGUCUCCAACACAUAGAUUAUAAGAGAGAAAAGAAGUCAACAAUAUAUUUCAAGUUUCAAAAUGUAUUUGUAAUUUCUUCAAAGACUGUUUCUAGGGUUCAGCCACAGACGUGAACUGACUGGGAGCUGAUGGCUUAUCCAUAAGGGGAAGAGAACGUUUCAGUGUCACAUGUCUAUAUGUGUGGAUAAAGAGGUGUGCUCAGAAAUGUACCUUAGGAACCGCAGCACGACCGCAGAAAGAAACACAGAGCUUUCAGGGCAGCGUUACUGCUUACAGAGAAGCUGGAAACAGCUGAAGUCUCCAAGCGGUGAGAAUGGCCCACCGCCUGGCGAUGGAGACAAGCCCGGCCCUGGGCCCAGCUGGGGCACAGCCUGGACGUCUGACCUCUUCCCAUGAGCGCCCUCUGGGCUGGCUUUCGGUGUACCAUCUUACGAGUCUUUCCCAAUUUAUCCCCUUUGGGUCCCUAUUUUUUCUUUUGCUAUAUUCUAUUUUGGCUUGAACGGGUGAAUUUUCAUGAUCCAAUCUGUUCCUCCGUUGAUUUUUGUGUCUAUUAUUUAUCUUUCAGAGGUUUCCCUCAAAAUCACCAUUUUUAUCUUUAUCUUUUUAUGGUUUACUCUGACCCAGUCUCAUCCGUCUCUGUCAUAUGAAGACCUUCAUGACAUAAAGCCACCCUCAGCCUCUCCUGUCUUGUCUGCUACUCCCUUCCGCUUACAUUUCGUGUGGUAAUCUCACCGUGUUUUGUGUUUUGUUCUGAUCUGCACCCUGAGGAAUGAUGAAGGAAGUUCUUCAGGCUGAAGAGGGAUUUUAUCAGAAAGAAACGUGGUGUCCAGAAGUAAUAACAAACACUGGGAAGAGUAAAGAUGAAGAUGGAUAAAAGCAGGGUUUCCCUUUCUUCUGCCACGUUCUUCACAAGUUGACUCUUUAAGACAACAAAACACAAAACACGGUGAGAUUACCACACGAAAUGUAAGCGGAAGGGAGUAGCAGACAAGACAGGAGAGGCUGAGGGUGGCUUUACUGUCAUGAAGGUCUUCAUAUGACAGAGACAGAUGAGACUGGGUCAGAGUAAACCAUAAAAAGAUAAAGAUAAAAAUGGUGAUUUUGAGGGAAACCUCUGAAAGAUAAAUAAUAGACACAAAAAUCAACGGAGGAACAGAU
ensembl:lncRNA